AAGUGAAAAACAAUGUUAUCACCCUAUUCAAAGGGUUGGAAGAGUCUUGUUUAGAGUUGUGUGGGGUUGAAUAAAUAUAUUUGUAAUAUUUCAGAAGUUGGCAGAAAAAGAAAAGAAAAAUAGAAAAGAAAGAAAAAUGAAUGAAAAAAAUAGAAGGAUGACAAUCAAUACAUACUCCUUAUGAAAAAGAAAAAAAAAAUAAAAAGAGAAAGGAGAAGAGAAAACAGUUGCUAUAGAGUUGUUGAAGUGAAUGAAAUCUUUUGUAAAUUCAAC
rnacentral:lncRNA from 1 species